CUUCUUUUAUAUACUGCUUUAUAAUGUGAAUGCGAAAGAAGCAAUCUUUUGUGAGGAAGAAGUUUUUGGGAACGCCGACAUUCCACUAGUAGUCAGGUUACCGAGGCUAAGAUAGUGAACGUUCUCUGCCACUACAGAACAAAUGGCCUCGCACGGACAGAAAUUACGACGCAAACAAGUGUCUCGUCCAGUGCGACAAUGGACUGGUCUUGAGAGUCUGGCGCUGCUCAACCAAGUUCAAAUUAUUCUGGCUGAAGAAGGGAUGGCGCGCAAGUAUAUUGUGCAAGGUGCCGCGAACAACGACCUCUUUUAUCUGCAAGAGG